rnacentral:sRNA from 1 species
AUAUAAAGAUCAAAGGCUAUAUUUGCGGCAUCAUGCCGCAACACCUUUGUGACCCAUAUCUUGUGGG